UGUUGAAGCAGUGAAGAUAUUGCUCUUUAAAACCCAGCUCAUUAUGAGGUCUUCCAUCCAUUGGAAGGUCAAGGAACAGAGUUCAUAUUGAUAUCUGAGAUUAACA